GUAGAUCGCUGAGCGAUACUUUCGGCAGCACCUCCUUGAUUCUCAGUUUUGCUGGAGGCCGCAACCAGGCCCGCGCCGCCACCAUGGUACGUUGAAUCCCGAUCUCUGGAAGGUUUAGGGCAGAGCUCUGGUGACUGGGGGAUGACGAGCCACCUCUCCUGUCAUCCUUAGCGUCGCCCGGUGCCACGAGGUAUGAGAGCCUCGGCAGACGGCCGGGCUCCGGCAGUGAUUCAGCAUCUCCGGCCUGGCCGGGCUAGGGGUUAUCGGUAGCCAGUGCGGCCUUUCCACCGCUUUCGCUUCCCGGGGAGCCUCCGACACUUCCUCCUCGGUCAGCUAGAUGAGUUCGCCCCUCAGGUUCCUUCAGUGGAGUAGAUUCUGAGCGGUCCAGAAUAGCUCCUAGUGCUGUGUAUGGGAGAGGAGAAGACAGAGACUUGACUUGGAGGCCUACCUGUACCACCAGUGCGGACUUGACCCCCAGGUUUGUGUUCCUGGACAGCGUCCGUUUUCCUGUUUCGAAAUCAGUAUGACAAUGAUGUCACUGUUUGGAGCCCCCAGGGCAGGAUUCAUCAAAUUGAAUAUGCAAUGGAA
rnacentral:lncRNA from 1 species